rnacentral:sRNA from 1 species
UCUCUCCGAACAUUGAACCGUAAUUGCAAAACAGUUUACCUUGGUAAG